UCCUCGGUAGCUCAACGGUAGAGCGACCGGCUGUUAACCGGUUGGUUGUAGGUUCGAAUCCUACCCGAGGAG
rnacentral:tRNA from 1 species